AAGAUGCCUGGGGGGAACGGAGGGGGGGUCAUUGUCACUGUGCUAGCUUACAGUGGAUGUAGAGAAAUGCUAUGCUAGAUGUGGUACCUGUGUUGACGUCAUAGCCAUUACCCACGUUGGUCACCACCCUCUUGAAAACCAGCGUGGUGUCUGUGUUGAAGGGUCCUACGUGGGUCCAGUCUGUGGUGCUGACCAGCGCCGCCGAGAAGGCCACAUGCGUUUUGGCUGCGGGAUGAAAGGUCGCAGGUCAAGUCUACUCGUUAAGACCUCUUGUCGUUCUGACUUACUUGCUUCUGCGGCAUCCCUCUCCAGCUUAUCCACGCGAACUGCCAGAUUCUGGAGGAGGAGCUGUUGUUCUGGGUCAGUCCAGUACUGGCCGCCCAUCAUCAAUUGAGCACGAAGCCCAACUACGACGCACAGCAGCAGGGCCGCUCUGAACCACACACACGCCAUCGCUUGACUGCGGAGGUCGGUGGACUCGCUCUGUACGCAACGCUGGACCAACGUGUGGACUCUGAACUUUGUUCACAAACAUUCGCUGGACAAAUUGUAACCAGAACCUUCCAGAAGUCAUGCUAGGUUACUAACGGGCUAGCUGCUAGCUACUGAUGUAAGUCAUGACAGGUUACUAACGGGCUAGCAGCUAGCUACUUAUGCAAGUCACGCCAGGUUACUAACGGGGUAGCAGCUAGCUACUUAUGUAAGUCACGCCAGGUUACUAAUGGGCUAGCUGCUAGCUACUUAUGUAAGUCACGCCAGGUUACUAACGGGCUAGCAGCUAGCUACUUAUGUAAGUCACGCCAGGUUACUAACGGGCUAGCAGCUAGCUACUUAUGUAAGUCACGCCAGGUUACUAACGGGCUAGCAGCUAGCUACUUAUGUAAGUCAUGCCAGGUUACUAACGGGCUAGCAGCUAGCUACUUAUGUAAGUCACGCCAGGUUACUAACAAGCUAGCAGCUAGCUAUGUAAGGCUGGUGACCGCCUUACAUAAUGACCGUACAAUAUACAGUAUCUAGCAUAGCUACUUAUGGAAGUAAUGCCAGGUUACUAACGGGGUAGCUGCUAGCUACUUAUGUAAGUCAUGCCAGGUUACUAACGGGCUAUCUGCUAGCUACUUAUGCAAGUCAUGACAGGUUACUAACGGGGUAGCAGCUAGCUACUUAUGUAAGUCAUGCCAGGUUACUAACGGGCUAGCUGCUAGCUACUUAUGUAAGUCAUGACAGGUUACUAACGGGCUAUCUGCUAGCUACUUAUGCAAGUCAUGACAGGUUACUAACGGGGUAGCAGCUAGCUACUUAUGUAAGUCACGCCAGGUUCUAACGGGCUAGCAGCUAGCUACUUAUGGAAGUCAUGUCAGGUUACUAAUGGGCUAGCUGCUAGCUACUUAUGUAAGUCACGCCAGGCUACUAACGGGCUAGCAGCUGGCUACUUAUUGAAGUAAUGCCAGGUUACUAACGGGGUAGCAGCUAGCUACUUAUGUAAGUCACGCCAGGUUAUUAACAGGCUAGCAGCUCGCUAUUUAUGGAAGUAAUGCCAGGUUACUAAUGGGCUAGCAGCUAGCUACUUAUGUAAGUCACGCCAGGCUACUAACGGGCUAGCAGCUGGCUACUUAUUGAAGUAAUGCCAGGUUACUAACGGGCUAGCAGCUGGCUACUUAUUGAAGUAAUGCCAGGUUACUAAUGGGGUAGCAGCUAGCUACUUAUGUAAGUCACGCCAGGUUAUUAACGGGCUAGCAGCUCGCUAUUUAUGGAAGUAAUGCCAGGUUACUAAUGGGCUAGCAGCUAGCUACUUAUGUAAGUCACACCAGGUUAUUAACGGGCUAGCAGCUAGCUAUUUAUGGAAGUAAUGCCAGGUUACUAAUGGGCUAGCAGCUAGCUACUUAUGUAAGUCACGCCAGGUUACUAACGGGCUAGCAGCUAGCUACUUAUGUAAGUCACGCCAGGUUACUAACAGGCUAGCAGCUAGCUACUUAUGUAAGUCAUGCCAGGUUACUAACGGGCUAGCAGCUAGCUACUUAUGUAAGUCACGCCAGGUUACUAACGAGCUAGCAUAAUGACUGUACAGUAUACAGUAUCUAGCAUAUUACACCAAAAGGAUGCAAGAACCACUGUGAUAUUUUGCAAAGCAACACAUGAGAUUUUUGAAGAACCAUCUGGGCGUUCCAUUCCUCAUAGGUUGUUGUUUUGGUGGUGAAGAACCAGCAGGACCACCCACAGGAAAAAGCUAACAGAGCCCACCACCAGGCGCCAGAUAUCCAGCAUAGAAAACAACAUGGACUCCAACGUGGCCAAACGAUCAGCAGACCAGAUCCCAGAUCAGGCCUCAUGAGAACGCCAUGGCAACGCCUGCUGCCUCAGCUCUCACCUCCUGGCGCCGAGGACUUCCUCAGUUCGAUUUUCAGCAGCUGGCCCUCACGUGACUCUAACCUUGUCGCCGUGGAUACGCCCAGAGCCUCCCAACCGGGCUGGAAGAUGAAAACCCGUUUAGUGGAAGUCGAUACUGCACAAUACGUUUUAUCGUAUUUGACGUAUGUAUUUCACACAUGAGCUGAUCUAGCAUGACUGACGGUUGAUGAUGGAUUGACAGAUAGAGUGGUGCAUGGCAUGUUUUGUAGAACAUUACCAAUGGAUUCGGACUACAAUGUAAAUCAGGGGUCUCAAACACGCAGCCCGCGGGCCAAAUGUGGCCCGCAGGACACUAGUUUGAGGCCCCCGCCUUGAUAUGAAAGUUUAAUGUUCGUGCGGCCCGCGCAAGCUUGAUAUGGAUGCUGUAUGGUAUCAUGUACCCAGAAAAAAGGAUUACGUUUGAUUAAUGUUCAUGUUAAAGGUUAAAUAACUGUUAAUAGUUAUCCUCCCUAUCCGUGUGGAAGUGGUAAGUUUUUGGCUAUUUAAGUUUAAAGGAAAUAACUUGAAGGCUAGCGUUAGGUCGCUAGCUCUCUAGUUUGCGAGUUAGCAUGUGUCUCAAGACCCUGCAGUUGCGCAAUAUGUUGUAAAUAAAAAGAGUAUAAAUGUGACUAUAGUCGUGUUUUGUCAUGUCUACAGGGCUCUAAU